rnacentral:rRNA from 1 species
GCAAGUCGAGCGAGCUUGCCUAGAUGAUUUAGUGCUUGGCACUAAAUGAAACUAGAUACAAGCGAGCGGCGGACGGGUGAGUAACACGUGGGUAACCUGCCCAAGAGACUGGGAUAACACCUGGAAACAGAUGCUAAUACCGGAUAACAACACUAGACGCAUGUCUAGAGUUUGAAAGAUGGUUCUGCUAUCACUCUUGGAUGGACCCUGCGGUGCAUUAGCUAGUUGGUAAGGUAACGGCUUACCAAGGCAAUGAUGCAUAGCCGAGUUGAGAGACUGAUCGGCCACAUUGGGACUGAGACACGGCCCAAACUCCUACGGGAGGCAGCAGUAGGGAAUCUUCCACAAUGGACGAAAGUCUGAUGGAGCAACGCCGCGUGAGUGAAGAAGGGUUUUCGGCUCGUAAAGCUCUGUUGGUAGUGAAGAAAGAUAGAGGUAGUAACUGGCCUUUAUUUGACGGUAAUCAACCAGAAAGUCACGGCUAACUACGUGCC